rnacentral:rRNA from 1 species
GACGAGGGACCCUAGCGUUGUUCGGAAUCAUUGGGCGUAAAGCGCGUGUAGGCGGCCCGUUAAGUGGGGUGUGAAAGCCCGGGGCUCAACCCCGGGACGCCGCUUCAAACUGGCGGGCUUGAGGACGGAAGAGGGGAGUGGAAUUCCUGGUGUAGCGGUGAAAUGCGUAGAGAUCAGGAGGAACACCCGUGGCGAAGGCGGCUCCCUGGUCCGUCCCUGACGCUGAGACGCGAAAGCGCGGGGAGCGAACGGG